rnacentral:rRNA from 1 species
CCUACGGGAGGCUGCAGUGGGGAAUAUUGGGCAAUGGGCGAAAGCCUGACCCAGCAACGCCGCGUGAAGGAAGAAGGCUUUCGGGUUGUAAACUUCUUUUGACAGGGAAGAGAAGAAGACGGUACAUGUCGAAUAAGCAACGGCAAACUACGUGACAGCAGCCGCGGUAAAACGGAGGUGGGAAUCGUUGUACGGAUUUACUGGGUGUAAAGGGCGGGUAGCCGGGCGGAAAAGUCAGAUGUGAAAUCCGAGGGCUCAACCCCCGAACUGCAUUUGAAACUGUUGGUCUUGAGUAUCGGAGAGGCAGGCGGACUUCCUAGUGUAGCGGUGAAAUGCGUAGAUAUUAGGAGGAACACCAGUGGCGAAGGCGGCCUGCUGGACGACAACUGACGGUGAGGCGCGAAAGCGUGGGGAGCAAACAGGAUUAGAUACCCGGGUAGUC